ensembl:snRNA U5 U5 spliceosomal RNA
AUACUCUGGUUUCUCUUCAGACCGUAUAAAUCUUUCGCCUUUUACUAAAGAUUUCCGUGGAGAGGAACAACUCUGAGUCUAAAACUAAUUUUUUGAGGCUUUGUUUUCACAAGGCU